rnacentral:ncRNA from 1 species
UUGGCACCGGUUCACGUCACCCGCACUCAGCGGAGGCGACCCGGCGGCC